UCCUACUACUGCUGCUGCUGCUGCUACUAUUGCAGCUGCUGGUGCUACUAGGGCAAGGUUCGAGAAUUCGAGAGCAGUAGUAAGCAAUGAAGGAAGGAAGGAAGGAAGGGAGGGCAAUGGAAUUUCACAGAAUCCGUGAAACUCGCUGUUACCCUGGUAGCCGAGCCCAGAGGGCGAUGGAGGGUUGCCCGGAGCCUGGACCACUCUCCAAGCGGGACGACAAAGAACGUAUCGAAAGGAGGAUGAAAAGAUAUGAAGAAGGAUGAAA
rnacentral:lncRNA from 1 species